ACUGCAGGAGAUAGUGCUAAUCUUUUAAUAAAAGAUCCCAUUACAAUGGGAUCUGUCUGGACAGACUAUAAUAGAUCCAGAAAUACAGCCGUGCUAAUAUUAGAAGACAGUUGUUUGGGUGCCUCUCAGACGGGCCGAAGUCCUGCUUUGAAAGUGGGCAUGAAUCACAAAGACCCGCGGCCGCCGCACCUGCACUCGGGCCCAUUCAGUACAACAGACUGUUAAAAAUCCAAGAAAAGCAGUAGAAUGCAACAUCCUGAAGAUGCAAGGAUUCUGAGAAGGAAGUGUAUUUUUUCUUCCCCCCAAGGAAUUUGGGAGUGGAGAACACAGGUAUGUUUGUAAAUUUAUAUAGGUCAGAGAUCAAGAUAUAUACUUCCUGAUCUUGUAUCUUGUCCAGUCUUUUUCAAUAUUCCAGCUGCAUUUUCCAAAUUCUUCAUUUUAUUAUCAUUACAUGCAUACAUACAUGUAUAUAUACACAUAUUAAUAGUAGUAAGAUACAUUUCCUUUCCACUUGUGGCUAGUGAUAUGUACUAGUCACAUAAGUAUAUGUUAUCAGAUACUUACUAUCUAUGUGCUUCUUUUUUCUAUCUAAUUUAGGAUGAAAGCUUCUAAAGAACUCAGGGGUUCCUCUUUCCGCUUAUUUAGUAAAUUUGCUGUGAUGAAAAGUACAUGGUAAGGGCUUCAGAAUUAUUUUUAACCCAUGGUCAGUACUGAUGAGAUUUAAUAUCCUUUAAAAUAUUGUAAGAUUUAACUUCGUUUAUAUUUGUGCACAUAACAUAUGAGAGGCAGAAGGGCAUAGUGGAUAGAAGGCUGCUUCUGACAAAUCCUUAUUGUGUGAGUAUGGACAAAUCACUUAAUCUCUGACUUACCCAGGCAAUGAAUGCUUUGAAACUCUAAGUUACAGAUUUGUAUAGAUGGAAGAAAUGUUCAAAUCAUACUAGAUAUGUAUUAUUGUUCACAUAAAUUCAUGAGUAUAUUCGUACACCAAUAUUCUGAGACUUUAAGUUACAGAAUGAUUGCUGAUUUGCAUUAAUAGAGAUAAUUUUUGUACAGAGACUUUCCUACUCCAAUGAUUUCAGGUCUAGUCUCCUCUCCCCACUUUCCAUUUUCAAAUAUGUUGUUUUGAGUAGUGCAUAUCUCUCUAUAUAUUCUUGUGUUCACACACACGCAUUCUCUUAAUUCUCCAGAUCUAUAUAAAAUUCAGAAAAGAGUCGAUGAUGUGGAUGAUUUAAAUAUAAAAAUUAUAUAGAUUUUUUUUGUCAUGAUUGUGCAAUAUGUUUAAUGUAAUCAUAUGUUUCACUUUGGGUAAAUGGAUGAAACUUGUAUCAUAAAGAUGUUAUAACUUCGAACAAUCUAGGUUAGUUUCUUCAUAAUGUCAAUAGAAUUGGGUGCAAAAAAAUAUUAUGGCCUAUUCAUUUUCUUUUUGUCUAGAUGGUGCCAAACAUUCAAUUUGAUCAGUUGAUCAAGUUGAUCAAACCCAUUUGUUUUAGCAUCAUAGAGGCACAAUCUAAUUGCCUUUGUUGGAUCUGGAAAUAGGAGUGUGAACAUUUCUUAUGCAAGCACUAUUGCUUAUAGGAAUACUCUGGCACUAGUGGCAAGCCCAACAACAAAAAAAUUACUUCUUACUCCAGAAAGGGUGCAGGUCAGGGUUGAGGUUACUGGCAAGCACAGUGUGGAAAACACAAAUUCUAUGUUGCUUUUGCCCUUGUGAACAAGCAGCCUGGUAUUUACUUUGCAAUACAGACUCAUCCUGUUUUUCAGCUGCACCUUGGUUAGUAUUGAUCUAUUUGGUAAAAUGUCUAUUGUGAUUCUGCAUAGUAAAACAGUAAUGAAUACUGUUAUUGUAUUCUGUGCUCUCUGGCCAUCUUCCUAGGAAUGAGUCACAGGUCAAUACUUGUUCCAUAUGUGCGUCCUCUGUGCAUCAGCAGAAGAUCAAUCCGAUUGCAGUGGGGUGGAAUUGUAUCACACCUGUUCGGUGACAUCACAGAGAACAGCUGUUGUUUCUUGUAUUAUUUUAUCUCCUUUAACUGUUAAAUAUUGGGUUUACAUCUGCCAAAAUGUCAGGGUCACAUUUUAAAAUAAAAAUGCUUUCUUUCAUUUAUUUGUGUGCUUCCAUUUUCAACUUUGUUCCCCCUUCAAGUUUGCCAAAAAGUAAAUGUAAAUUAACAGAAGACACAAUAGGACUACUUUGUAGCUGAGUCUGAUCGACGCACAAAAACUAUGCUGUUUUUUUACUGUGUUUUUUUUUUUUUGUGGCUUCAAAAGAAAUCCUUUUCAUAAAAUUUAUAAAUUAUAAAAACUAUAGUUUAGCAAAUGCUUAAAUGAAAAUUUUAGGAAAACUUCCUUAUAAAUGAUUGGAGCUAAAUUUUAGAUCUCCAAAUGAGUUUUUUGUUUUGUUUUUUGCUUUUGCUCUUUGUGUGUAUGUAUAUAUGGAAUGUAUGAGGAUAAUGAACUGACUAAUUUUUUUUUAAUCUUUUACUUUAAAAAUGAAAUGUUCCACAAUUUUGACUGUAGGUAAUUUACAAACUGGAAGCAGC
rnacentral:lncRNA from 1 species